rnacentral:rRNA from 1 species
CCUACGGGAGGCAGCAGUGGGGAAUCUUGCGCAAUGGGCGAAAGCCUGACGCAGCCAUGCCGCGUGUAUGAUGAAGGUCUUAGGAUUGUAAAAUACUUUCACCGGUGAAGAUAAUGACUGUAGCCGGAGAAGAAGCCCCGGCUAACUUCGUGCCAGCAGCCGCGGUAAUACGAAGGGGGCUAGCGUUGCUCGGAAUUACUGGGCGUAAAGGGAGCGUAGGCGGACAUUUAAGUCAGAGGUGAAAUCCCGGAGCUUAACUUCGGAACUGCCUUUGAUACUGGGUGUCUUGAGUGUGAGAGAGGUAUGUGGAACUCCGAGUGUAGAGGUGAAAUUCGUAGAUAUUCGGAAGAACACCAGUGGCGAAGGCGACAUACUGGCUCAUUACUGACGCUGAGGCUCGAAAGCGUGGGGAGCAAACAGGAUUAGAUACCCUGGUAGUCCACGCCGUAAACGAUGAUUGCUAGUUGUCGGGAAGCUUGCUUCUCGGUGACGCAGCUAACGCAUUAAGCAAUCCGCCUGGGGAGGUACGGUCGCAGAUAAACUACAAGAAGUAGAGCGNGAGACGNGCGAGACGACACGAGGGAGAG